rnacentral:misc_RNA from 1 species
GAUGAAGAACGCAGCGAAAUGCGAUAAGUAAUGUGAAUUGCAGAAUUCAGUGAAUCAUCGAAUCUUUGAACGCACCUUGCACUCCUUGGUAUUCCGAGGAGUACGCCUGUUCGAGUGUUAUGAAGCUCUCAAAACGCAAUUGGCUUAAAACCUGAUUGUUGUUUUGGAUUUGAACUUUGCCGUGUUAUAACGGCUGGUUUUAAAAGUAUUAGCUGGUACUAGAACGUAUUGGUUCUACUCAACGUGAUAAUUAUCUGAUCGUUGAGGACAUUCCUUUCACGAGGAAUGGCCAUAGUAAAUUCAAUGGACUGCUUCUAAUCUGGCUUUAAUUCUUUAUUGGAUUAACCACUUUUCAAAUCUGACCUCGAAUCAGGUGGGACUACCCGCUGAACUUAAGCAUAUCAAUAAGCGGAGGA